rnacentral:rRNA from 1 species
CACGUAGGGGGCGAGCGUUGUCCGGAUUUAUUGGGCGUAAAGAGCUCGUAGGCGGCUCAGUAAGUCAGGUGUGAAAACUCCAGGCUCAACCUGGAGACGCCACCUGAUACUGCUGUGGCUAGAGUCCGGUAGGGGAGCAUGGAAUUCCUGGUGUAGCGGUGAAAUGCGCAGAUAUCAGGAGGAACACCGGUGGCGAAGGCGACACUCUGGGCCGAAACUGACGCUGAGGAGCGAAAGCGUGGGUAGCAAACAGG